rnacentral:tRNA from 2 species
CGGGAUGUAGCGCAGCCUGGUUAGCGCACCUGACUGGGGGUCAGGGGGUCGCCGGUUCGAAUCCGGCCAUCCCGAUCA